rnacentral:miRNA from 1 species
CUUGUCCUGGUUCGUGUAGGGC